CGCUGGCGGCGUGCUUAACACAUGCAAGUCGAGCGGUAAGGCCUUUCGGGGUACACGAGCGGCGAACGGGUGAGUAACACGUGGGUGAUCUGCCCUGCACUUCGGGAUAAGCCUGGGAAACUGGGUCUAAUACCGGAUAUGACCUCCUAUCGCAUGGUGGGUGGUGGAAAGAUUUAUCGGUGCAGGAUGGGCCCGCGGCCUAUCAGCUUGUUGGUGGGGUAAUGGCCUACCAAGGCGACGACGGGUAGCCGACCUGAGAGGGUGACCGGCCACACUGGGACUGAGACACGGCCCAGACUCCUACGGGAGGCAGCAGUGGGGAAUAUUGCACAAUGGGCGAAAGCCUGAUGCAGCGACGCCGCGUGAGGGAUGACGGCCUUCGGGUUGUAAACCUCUUUCAGCAGGGACGAAGCGCAAGUGACGGUACCUGCAGAAGAAGCACCGGCUAACUACGUGCCAGCAGCCGCGGUAAUACGUAGGGUGCAAGCGUUGUCCGGAAUUACUGGGCGUAAAGAGUUCGUAGGCGGUUUGUCGCGUCGUUUGUGAAAACCAGCAGCUCAACUGCUGGCUUGCAGGCGAUACGGGCAGACUUGAGUACUGCAGGGGAGACUGGAAUUCCUGGUGUAGCGGUGAAAUGCGC
rnacentral:rRNA from 1 species